rnacentral:rRNA from 1 species
CUCACGCGGGAAUCUUACCGGGUCCGGACACACUGAGGAUUGACAGAUAUAUACCCCGUGAUUUUAUCGCGGGGUUGAAAGAUGCUAGUUCUUUCAUGAUUAUGUGAUAGGUGGUGCAUGGCCGUUCUUAGUUCGUGGAGUGAUCUGUCUGCUUAAUUGCGUAUCAAUAAUAGAGACCUAGUAUACGCGUAGACUCAUGCGGUAGUGACCCCCCUUCACAGGGCGCGUGUCGCACGUAUGUUAUACGCACAGGUCUCCGAUAGCAACGAACGUGACCGUACUCUAUUGUUGCAGCGACAAUACCUUUCAACGGGUAUUACCGCUGCUUAGCAAGAUUCGUCUUGCAUUAAACUAUAGAGACCGCUGUUUCUUCUUUAAACCAGAGGAAGGAUACGGCAAUAACAGGUCUGUGUUGCCCUCAGAUGUUCUGGGCUGCACACGUGCUACAAUGAUCAUUGCACUGUGCAUCUAACCCAAUGUGCGCGGACGCCGCCGUGCGUAUAUACUUUAUUGUGUAUGCGUAUCGUGCGUGCGACCGCGCCGAACCUGCUUCGAAAGUAAACAUUUCCAGCGGGUAAUCCAUUAGAAGUAAUGACUCGCAUAGACCAUGGCACACUAUAUGUACCCGCGGGUUCUACCCGGCUCGCCUUUGUGUGAGUGCAGUGCGUAGCUCGUUAUUUGGUACGUGCCACUCCGUAUUAAUUCAUACGUGGGGAUAGAUCAUUGUUUAAUUGUUGG